AUGGGUAAUAUUUUAUGCAAAUUAUCUAAAGGUAAAAAAUACCUUAUGUCAUGGUUUAAUAAUUUUUUUUAUUUGUUUUUUAAAAAUAGUAAAAAAAAAAUAUCUUCUAUAGAAAAUUCAGAUAACAACAAAGAAAGUAGCCAGAACAUAUCUAAUAGCAACAAAAAUGAAGAAAAUGGCGAGAAAAGAAAUUACAUUAUAAGGGCUCUAAAAGAAAUGACUAUAUAUGAGAAAUGUUUACUAGGAGUUGCUUUAUUUUUUUUAUCUAUUAAUGCAUUUACUAAUUUGAGCUACCCUAAGAUAAUGGGUGGUUUAGCAUCUUAUUUUCGAAUAUUUUUUACUAAAAAAUGUAUGAAACAAGUUGAGUAUAGAUUAAAAAAAGAUUUACAUAAAAAAAUAAUAAAUGAAAAUGAUGAAAAAUUUUUAAAAUAUAAACCUGCAGAUUAUUUAAUAAAUUGUACAUUUAAUGAAGUUAGAUAUUCAUCAGUGGAAUUAGUUACAUCUAUAACUCAAAUUUUACGUUAUACGAAUUCUAUUGUAGGGGGUAGUAUAUGUAUGCUUUUAAUUUCUCCAUAUCUUACGAAAUUAUGUGUUUUUAUUGUACCAACUUACGGAUUACUUGUUUUAUUUAUUGGUAAAAAAAUAAAAAAUAAUAAAAUAAAAACAAAUGAAUUGGAAGAAAAACAAAUGGCACGAUUUUCAGAUAUUAUACAAAAAAAAAAUAUAAUUAAUUUAUAUGCUAAUGAAUAUUAUGAAAAUAAAUAUUUUUUUAAAAGUUUAAAACAUAGUCAACAAUUAGAUUAUAAUUAUAUUAAAUCUGAAUCAAUGUUUUAUUCAUUUUUAAAUAUUGGAAGUAAUUUAGUUAUAUGUACUGUGUUAUGUUUAGGUAAAAUGGAAUUAAAUAAAAGUAAUAUAACGCAUGGACAAUUAGUUUCUUUUAUCACUUAUAGCACUAUGUUAGGUCUUGGGAUAUUCGGAAUGCUCAAAGUAAAAAAAGAUAUAACUUUACUUCAGUUGAGUUUGCAUAAAAUAUAUCAAAUUUUGGAUUUUACAAAAAAAUAUUCGAUCCUUACAAAUGUCCAUACAAAUGUCCAUACAAAUGUCCAUACGAAUGUACCUACGAAUGUACUUACGAAUGAAAAGGAAGAGGAAAAAAAAGAUGGCAGUAAUAUUGUAGUAGCUACUGUUGAUAUUACUGAGACGGAAAACAUUGGUAAUUCUAAAAAUAUAAUCAAUCAAGAUAGUAUCAAUCAAGAUAGUAUUAAUCAAGAUAGUAUCAACCGAGAUAGUAUUAAUCGAGAUAGUAUUAAUCGAGAUAGUGACGUUGAUAUCCCUAAGAGUAUAAAAGGCAGUAUUCGAUUUAUAAAUGUUUCUUUUACAUAUAACAAUUUUGAUGAAGUUAAUAAAAAAAAAGUAUUAAAAAAUAUAAAUAUAGAAAUAAAUGAAAAUGAAAAAGUAGCUAUUAUAGGUAAAAGUGGAGCAGGGAAAUCUACUUUAAGGAAAUUAUUAACAGGUGAAUUAAAUUUUGAAGGUACUAUAUAUAUAGAUAAUUAUAAUUUACAAAAUAUAAACAAAACUUAUUUAAAAAAAAAUAUAAUUUCAUUUUUUGAACAAGAAUGUAAUCUUUUAAAUAGAUCUUUAUAUGAAAAUUUAGUUUAUUCUAUAGUACCUAUAAAAAUAAAAAAUAAAUAUUAUUUGUCCAGUUUAAUAUUCGAUAAUGCUCAUAUAAAUAAGAAUAUGCUUAUAAAAAUAUUAAAACAAAAUAAUAAUAGUGGUAAUAAUAAUAGU
rnacentral:lncRNA from 1 species